ACAGCAGCAGCCGCGGGAAUACGGAGGGUGCAAGCGUUAAUCGGAAUUACUGGGCGUAAAGCGCACGCAGGCGGUCUGACAAGUCAGAUGUGAAAUCCCCGGGCUUAACCUGGGAACUGCAUUUGAAACUGUCAGGCUGGAGUCUUGUAGAGGGGGGUAGAAUUCCAGGUGUAGCGGUGAAAUGCGUAGAGAUCUGGAGGAAUACCGGUGGCGAAGGCGGCCCCCUGGACAAAGACUGACGCUCAGGUGCGAAAGCGUGGGGAGCAAACAGGAUUAGAUACCCCGGUAGUCCCUGUCUCUUAUAC
rnacentral:rRNA from 1 species